GUGAGCGCCGCCCCUGUGCACCGUGCACGC
rnacentral:sRNA from 1 species